UUUAUAUAUCAUUCAGAGAACUCGAAUAACACAUAUGAAGUCAUGAAUUAAAAUUAUUAAUUUUAAAAUUAAUUGAUGUUAAUGGUCGAAGGAAUUUUCAUAUUACAUAUGUAAUAAAUAGUCACCAUUAUAAUAAAAAGAAGAAGCGCACAUCAUUUUUAUAUACUCUAUAUACAAAUUUUAUUUAAAUAUAUAUAUACAAAAUGGAUAUAAGUAUUGAAAAGGAUAUUUUAAUUGUGGCGAUAUGAAACAGCAGUAACGAAGUGGAAAAUAAGCAAUAAAAUAAAAAAAAAAACAAGAAAAGAAAAGUAAAAAAAAAUAAAACCAAAAACAAAAUGACCACAACGAUAUCAUAGUAACAAAAAUUACAAAAACAUAUGUACAUACAAUAUAUAUUCACAAAUUUGAAAUAAAAAGAAAAAUAAUUCGAAAAACGGCAAAAGGAAAAAGAAAAACUAACAAAGAAAAAAUACACAAAAUUUAUUUCUUUUAAUUAAUUUUUCUUUUCUAUUAUUUUUUUUCUUUUCGAAUUUUCAAAUUUCCACAAAUGUACAUUUUUUCAAAUCAGCAGCGACGGCGCUUCAAUAUCAGAAGAACAAAAUAAAUAAAAUUCAAAAAUUAAAAAAUAAAUAGACACUAAAAUACAGUUAUAAUAUAAAAUAUUUAAACAUAAACAAUAAUAAUAAAAAUAAGAGAACG